AAAUAACUAUUAAUCAAUGCUCAUCCGACCCAAAGAAUGCAAACUCAGAGUACAAAGCAUGUUUAGUUUUGUCAAGAAUUUAAUGUUUAUGAUAUUGGCUAUAAGACAACGUUGUGGUGUGAGUCAGUGGACAAUGAAAAGUUAAUGGAUGAUAUGCAACACUCUGUCGUUACCUUCUGAUAUAGGCUCUAGACGAUAGUUCUGUGAAUAGAAAGAAAAUGUGAUGACUGCCGAUCUCUUGUUUUAGAAAUCAAAUUUAUAUUCGAAGCCUUAAAAAUUUUCU
rnacentral:lncRNA from 1 species